CCCUUAGAUGUUCUGGGCCGCACGCGCGCUACACUGACGAAGUCAGCGAGCAUGUCCUACGCCGACAGGUGCGGGGAAUCUUGUCAAACUUCGUCGUGAUGGGGAUUGAUUAUUGAAAUUCUUGAUCAUCAACGAGGAAUUCCUAGUAAGCGCAAGUCAGCAGCUUGCGUUGAUUACGUCCCUGCCCUUUGUACACACCGCCCGUCGCUACUACUGAUUGGGUGUUCAAGUGAGAUGCUUAGACCCUUGUUGCAUGGUUCAUUAUUGUGCUCCGAAAGGAAAAAGUUUCAAGCUUGAGUGUCUAGAGGAAGUAAAAGUCGUAACA
rnacentral:rRNA from 1 species